UCUGAAGUUGCAGCCGGAGUGAAGAAGAGCGGACCGCUGCCCAGUGCUGAGAGAUUGGAGAAUGUUCUCUUUGGACCUCACGACUGCUCCCAUGCCCCUCCGGAUGGCUAUCCAAUCAUCCCAACCAGUGGUAAAGUCGAGAGCCCUCCUGACUGUCCCGAAGAGGUUGGGACACAGCUACCUUGUCUAAAAUUCUGUAGGCUUGGCCGGGCGUGGUGGCUUAUGCCUGUAAUGCCAGCAUAUUGGAAGGCUGAGGCGGGUAGAUCACCUGAGGUCAGGAGUUUGAGACCAGCCUGGCCAACAUGGUGAAACCCCAUCUCUACUAAAAAUACAAAAAUUAGCUGGCAUGGUGGUGGGCACCUGUAAUCUUAGCUACUUAGGAGGCAGAGGCAGGAGAAUCACUUGAACCGAGGAGGCGGAGGUUGCAGUGAGCCGAGAUUGUGCCAUUGUACUCCAGCCUAGGGGACUACACUAAAACUCCAUCUC
rnacentral:lncRNA from 10 species